rnacentral:lncRNA from 1 species
GCGUCUUGUAGGAGAAAUCUUACCCUUCAUUUUCUUCUGACCAUUUGAAUAUUUCUUUAAAAUUAUUUAUUUAUUUUAUGUACGUGAGCAUACUCUUGCUGUCCUCAGACACACCAAAAGAGGGCAUCGGAUCCCAUCGUAGACAGCUGUGAGCCACCCUGUGGUUGCUGGGAAUUGAACUCAGGACCUUUGGAAGAGCAGUCUGUGCUCUUAACCACUGAGCCAUCUCUCCAGCCCCUUGAAUAUUCUUCACAGGUGCAUAUGGAUCUCAUAUAGGAGAAAAUGUUAAAGGUGCUGAUUGUGUAGGUGGGAGUCAGGGAGAGAAGUCGGAGCGGCUCUUGGUUUACAACAUUACAGCAGCAUGUUAUGUUGCUUGCCAGAUAAAAUCUAGGAUGCUCAAUUAUAAUUUAAUUGUCAGAUAAAAAGUUCAUGUGUGUGUGUGUGUGUGUGUGUGUGUGUGUGUGUGUGUGAAAAUGAGCUUUGGGAUCCUCGUUACCGUUUCUGCAUUCUGUAGCCUAACCUGAAGGUGUUGCUGCUGGUGGGGAACCCGAGGACCAGGACACUCAUCUCAGUAUUCCUUGGAGAAAGCCAUUCUGAAUUUGAGAGUGGACCAGAAGCACUUCAGUAUUUCUCAAGCACCAUUGAAUGGCAGCAUCUGAAGAAGGUACAUGUACCAAAUAUACAGCGAG